UGCGCGGCACCACUGGCAGUCUCAUCCCCCUGAAAAGCCUCACCAACAGCUUUCGCCCAAUGCUGGAGCUUGUCUGGAGGCCGCCUUCAUCGCCCUGCAAGGGGCUUCCUGAACCCUGCGCGCCACUCACGUCAACGUUGACGUAAAGCCCUGCUCCUGGCCACGCCCACCCAGAAAGCCCCGCGGGGAACCGUAGCUUUACAGAGCCCAGUUAGCAGUUUUGCCUGACAAUCGAGCCCAGCCAGCCGCUGCAGGUGACCUCAGCGAUUUACUGGCGGUGUCCUCACCAGAACUCAGAGCUCAGCAAAACAGCCCUGCCGAACUGCAGGGCCGUGGCAGUGUAUCCUGCCCAAUUGUGGACCCUGAGACCCCAACCCUGAUCCUUAUCCAAUUGCAGACCCUGGCAACAGGUCACCCACCAGGCAAAGACAGGUCAGCUGGCCCUGCUGAAACUCUGAACCCACCAGGCAGCCCCAGCCCCCUCCAGAAUGGAUUCCAAGAGAGGGAACUGGCUCACUAUGGACACCACCAACUGAUGUGCCCAGAAUUGUUGGCUGGCUGAUGUUGGCUUGCACCCUCAGGAGUUUCCAGGUGAAAUCUGAAAUUGGCCCCAUACAUGGAGGACAAGAAGAGACUGAAGAAAGAGGCAGACCACUCCAGAUUGACAAGAUCAAAGCAACAUAUCCAGUAUAUGACUAGAAGAGACCUGGGAAGAUGGAAAUGCCACAAGAAGGAGGACACAAGAGUCCCUAAGUCUCCAUAUAAAGGUGCUUGGCAAUUCCCUAUUUGACUGUGUAUGUAUAUGAUGACAUUUCAUUUUGAAUAACAACCAAAAUUUCA